UCCCCCACUUCAUACGACGUUCUCAUUUUCGCAGCAGUGCCUGAGCACUGAAAUGUUAAACGAAACGCCUUAAGGUGUCUGCAGCUGAAGCUAAGCGCCGCCUGAGCGCAGUAAGAUUUGGCAGGAAAGCGUCCACUUGAUAAGCGUCCUCGCGCGCCGUAGUAGAAUAGUAUGUUCUUUUUCAAUACAACGAUAGGAGUCAACUGAACAAGGGUCUGGAUCUGAGCUAGUUGCUACGGCUCUUUUCGCCGUCCGUGUCUAUGUGCGCUUAACCUACCGAGAGGAGUGAACGCUUUCAGCUGCUCAACGCUUAAGAAUGUCGAUGAAGAAAUAUUCCUGGAUAAAGGAUAACUGCGCGCCACGCAUGUCUUGAAGCAACAAUAACACCAUGCUGUUUUGGUAGCUUGGCCAAGACUGUGGCUUUCCAGAAGUGCGCGUGAGUGCUGUCAGGAAGAGGGAACGACGGGUCACGGAGGCUCAGACAUCAUGGCGGAGAGUGGUCCUGCACCGGACGGCGAACCAUCGAUGGAGGAAGGCGCAGCAGGGAGUGAUUGCGGGUUACCACAGCCGGACAACGUCCUGGACUACGCCCUGUUCGUGUCGCCAGUGUGUCCCGAACUCGGACCAGCAGAACUGCUCGCCGACGCCGUCAGGUGUACUGGAAGCUGCCGCGACGCGUAAUGGAGGCUGUGCCGCUAGUGGUGUCGCCCACUGACGGGCUGGCCGUGUGCCAGCAGCAGAUCAAGCUCAUCUUCAACAAGGUUCGCACGGACGCCAUGCUCGAGCGCGAGGCGACUACUUUCGUCAUGGGAACAAGCAGGACAACGGCGGCCGCCGAGGCAUUCCAACGGCACGGGGGAAGCCCGGAACUGCUCGCCAGAGUGCGCGAAACGGGACUAUUAAGAGGAGAGCUCGCUCAAGCCAAAAUCAAAGCCGCUCGGGAGCGGCUUGCAUUGGACUUUUUUGUUCUCACAGGAGUCGUGCGGGAGCAUGUGGUGUGUCUAAAAAGUGCGACUGGAGCAACUCAGAUCGAUCAGGUGUUGAAUGCCCGUGUGCUAAUAAACAUCGUCAGGCACCUUAUGGUGUCGGACGUGGUUAGGUGAAAGCCCUUCUUCGUUUUACCUGAAUGAGCAUGGACGUUGAG
rnacentral:misc_RNA from 1 species